rnacentral:lncRNA from 10 species
CUCCCCACUCAGAUGUGCAUUAAAAGUGGCAAGGCAAAAUCGAGAAAAAUAAUUUAGUCAACUGAAAAAAACCUUUUCCCGGCUUAGUCUGGGAGGUCGUAGUAGUAGUGAGAAAAAGUGAUGUAGGAUGACAUUACCAUUUGUUUAAAAUACUCUCCUUUCUCCAUUGAAUUGCUUUUGCACAUUUAUUAUAAAAAUCAAUUGGCCAUGUUUGUAUGGGUCUAUUUCUGGACUCUCUUACAUUUUCUUGGUGUAUUUGUCUAUUCAUUUGCCAAUAUUGCAGUGUCUUGAUUACUGUAGAUUUAAUACUAAGUCUUAGAAUUGAGUAAUGUGAUUCCUCCAACUUUAUUAUUCAUUUUCAAAAUUGUUGUAGCUAUUCUAGUUCCUUUACAUUUCCAUAUAAAUUUUAUAAUUAGCUUUUCUUUCUUUCUUUUUUUUUUUUUUGAGACGGAGUCUUGCUCUGUUGCCCAGGCUGGAGUGCAGUGGUGCGA